rnacentral:rRNA from 1 species
UACGUAGGGCGCAAGCGUUAUCCGGAAUUAUUGGGCGUAAAGAGCUCGUAGGCGGUUUGUCGCGUCUGCCCGUGAAAAGUCCGGGGGCUCAACUCCGGAUCUGCGGUGGGUACGGGGCAGACUAGAGUGAUGUAGGGGGAGACUGGAAUUCCUGGUGUAGCGGUGAAAUGCGCAGAUAUCAGGAGGAACACCGAUGGCGAAGGCAGGUCUCUGGGCCAUAACUGACGCUGAGAAGCGAAAGCAUGGGGAGCGAACAGG